rnacentral:misc_RNA from 1 species
UUAAGUUCAGCGGGUAGUCCUACCUGAUUUGAGGUCAAAUGACAUGCACAAAUGUAUGCACAUUGUUGUCUUGUGACGGUUAGAAGCAGUCUCGACUUGAUCAUUAAACAAUGCUUUAGUUUUAAUUAUCACAUUGUGUGUGAUCGAGGCAGAUCGCUAAUGCAUUUAGGAUGAGUCGAAGCUCGCACUUCGACAAACAC